UAGGGAAUCUUCCGCAAUGGACGAAAGUCUGACGGAGCAACGCCGCGUGAGUGAUGAAGGCUUUCGGGUCGUAAAACUCUGUUGUUAGGGAAGAACAAGUGCUAGUUGAAUAAGCUGGCACCUUGACGGUACCUAACCAGAAAGCCACGGCUAACUACGUGCCAGCAGCCGCGGUAAUACGUAGGUGGCAAGCGUUAUCCGGAAUUAUUGGGCGUAAAGCGCGCGCAGGUGGUUUCUUAAGUCUGAUGUGAAAGCCCACGGCUCAACCGUGGAGGGUCAUUGGAAACUGGGAGACUUGAGUGCAGAAGAGGAGAGUGGAAUUCCAUGUGUUGCGGUGAAAUGCGUAGAGAUAUGGAGGAACACCAGUGGCGAAGGCGACUUUCUGGUCUGUAACUGACACUGAGGCGCGAAAGCGUGGGGAGCAAACA
rnacentral:rRNA from 1 species